rnacentral:rRNA from 1 species
UACGUAGACGGUUGGAUAAGUCGGAUGUGAAAGCCCCGGGCUCAACCUGGGAAUGGCAUUCGAGACUGUUCAGCUAGGGUGCGGAAGAGGGAAGCGGAAUUUCCGGUGUAGCGGUGAAAUGCGUAGAUAUCGGAAGGAACACCAGUGGCGAAAGCGGCUUCCUGGUCCAGCACCGACGUUCAGGUACGAAAGCAUGGGGAGCAAACAGGAUUAGAUACCCUGGUAGUCCAUGCCAUAAACGAUGAGGACUAGACGUUGAGAGGGUAAGCCUCGCAGUGUCGUAGCUAACGCGCUAAGUCCUCCGCCUGGGGAGUACGGCCGCAAGGUUGAA